UCCGAGAAUAAACAAUUCCGUCAGCCUUGACUACAGGUCGAGGAGUCCAGCUCAGUCCGAACAAAUACGCGCUGUAGACUCUCUACAUUAUUCGUUUUAUUUGUGUGUUUUUGGUGAAGGUGCGCAUGUGGACUCAAAUUGGUUUUCCGAAGACUUGCCGAAGGAUUUCCCCUCGUGUCCAACAUCAGAGACCUCGCGCCUUUUCGACUGUACUGUCCAUGACCAUUUAGCGGAACCAGGCAGGCACGCGGGCAGCCCCGGGGCAAGGCAGGAAGUCAGCCGGGUGAGCGCCCAGAGAGACCCAAGGCCAAGGAAGCGAAUCGCCGAGCCCUGCAGAGCCAAGGCCAGACUGGACAAGCAGAAAGGGGGACGCCAAGGAUACUAAACAGAUCUCCCCGCGGCUCCCCUUGAGAUCAGCGAGGCAGAAAGACGACACUGGGACUGGGAGAAUCUCUCCCCCGGGGAAACAAUCGGCAGACAGACAUCCCAAACAUCUCCCCCUCCACUCCACUCUCCUCUCCUGUCCCCGUACCCGUACCCGUACCCGGCAGUGGAAUGCUUCAGCUGGGGCUGGGACUCUGGAGAUCGUGGUGGGCACGGCAGUCCGCUUGAUUCCUCGCCGGCUGGUUGUGUAAACCAGCUUCAUCUCCCAAAGCCCCAA